UACGUAGGGUGCAAGCGUUGUCCGGAAUUAUUGGGCGUAAAGAGCUCGUAGGCGGUCAGUCGCGUCUGCUGUGAAAACUCGGGGCUUAACUCCGGGCCUGCAGUGGGUACGGGCUGACUAGAGUGCGGUAGGGGAGACUGGAAUUCCUGGUGUAGCGGUGAAAUGCGCAGAUAUUAGGAGGAACACCAAUAGCGAAGGCAGCUCGCUGGGACGUUACUGACACUGAGGCGCGAAAGCGUGGGGAGCGAACAGG
rnacentral:rRNA from 1 species